CAAGGAGUAGUUUAAGUAGAAUAUCAGCUUUGGGUGUUGAUGGUAGGGCUUUAGCCUUUUCCUUGA
rnacentral:tRNA from 2 species